rnacentral:rRNA from 1 species
UGCANUGGGGGAACCCUGAUGCAGCGACGCCGCGUGAGCGAUGAAGCCCUUCGGGGUGUAAAGCUCUUUCGGCAGGGAAGAAUGAUGACGGUACCUGCAGAAGCAGCUGCGGCUAACUACGUGCCAGCAGCCGCGGUAAUACGUAGGCAGCAAGCGUUGUUCGGAAUUACUGGGCGUAAAGAGUGUGUAGGCUGUGCUCUAAGUCUGGUGUGAAAUCUCCCGGCUUAACUGGGAGGGUGCGCCGGAAACUGGGGUGCUAGAGUAUGGGAGAGGCAAGCGGAAUUCCUGGUGUAGCGGUGAAAUGCGUAGAUAUCAGGAGGAACACCUGUGGUGUAGACAGCUUGCUGGACCAUUACUGACGCUGAGACACGAAAGCGUGGGUAGCAAACAGGAUUAGAUACCCUGGUAGUCCACGCCCUAAACGAUGAUCGCUUGGUGUGACAGGUACCCAAUCCUGUCGUGCCGGAGCUAACGCGUUAAGCGAUCCGCCUGGGGAGUACGGCCGCAAGGUUGAAACUCAAAGGAAUUGACGGA